rnacentral:rRNA from 1 species
CGCCUCCUGUCUAUCUAUAGGAGGUCCAGCCUGCCCAGUGACCUAGUUUAACGGCCGCGGUAUCCUAACCGUGCGAAGGUAGCGUAAUCACCUGUUUUUUAAUUGAAGACCUGUAUGAAAGGCAUCACGAGAAUCGUACUGUCUCCUUUUUCUAAUCAGUGAAACUAAUCUCCCCGUGAAAAAGCGGGGAUACUCAUACAAGACGAGAAGACCCUUUGGAGCUUAAGACAAAGUAACGUUUCGCAUUCCUCAUUUUUAACCUAUUUCCCCAAGCACUUACAUUACUAGUCUUCGGUUGGGGCAACCGCGGAGUAAAAACCACCCUCCAAGUUGAAUGGAAUUUUCCUAAGCAAAAAGCUACAACUUUAUGCAUCAAAAAACUGACAUUAUGACCCAAUAUCUUGAUUAUCGAACCAAGUUACCCUAGGGAUAACAGCGCAAUCCACUUCGAGAGUUCAUAUCGACAAGUGGGCUUACGACCUCGAUGUUGGAUCAGGGUAUCCCAGUGGUGCAGCCGCUACUAAUGGUUCGUUUGUUCAACG